rnacentral:lncRNA from 1 species
UGACGCCUGCGACACAGUCUGCCGUUGUGAUUUUGAGAGAAUAUUACUUGCGUUUAGAUUACAACUAUCCAACGCAAUUUAAUAUCAGUGUUUCUAGCCCAAUAUAUCCUUCGUUUGAUAUUUUUAAGGAGGAAAAUCAUUAUUGUUUGAGUUGUACCUGAGCUAAGCAAAUAUGAUCAAGAAUCGAAGCCUUGCUGGAAAGUGGGCAAUAGGCUUGUUUUCUCUCACAUUAAUUCUUGUAGUACUUGCUUUUUCAACUCAGAAUUGGCUCGCCAGUGACGACCGUUUCUAUGGCGCAAAGUUGGAGAAAAUGGGAUUGUGGGUUCAUUGCUUCAGGAGCCUUACUGGCCCAAACGAUCCCACGCAGCGUCUGUUCUUCAGUGGCUGUCGCUGGCUGUUUGAUACCUACACAACAGGCUAUGCUGAGAUUCGAAGCCACUUAACACCUCCAUUCUUCAUAGCUGUGCAGAUGUUCUACACCCUGACUUUCAUGUGCACGGCAACAAGCGGAGUUCUGGUUCUGAUGCUGAUGUUUUGUAUCGACGAGGACCGUGAAACGUGCUUCCUGAGAGUGAUCGCCACUCUGAUGGGACUGUCUGGCAUUUGCGGCACGUUGUCUGUGAUCAUAUUCGGCGCCAGCGGUCGCAGCUACGAGUGGACCGCCGACAAACAGCACAACUAUCUGUCCUGGAGCUACGGUCUAGCCGUCCUCGCGGCGUUCCUGCAGCUCGUGCUCUGCGUACUGGUUAUCAACGAGGUCAGAAUCACAAGAAAGAAACACAGUCGCAUGAUGCCGCCGCAGCAGGCAGCAGAAGUGGAUCUGUAAUUGAUACAUCGCUACCCAGUGGCAAUGUUAACAACUUCAGCUGCCGGCAGCGCCACCAGAGGCGCUCGUAAUCGUGUUUGUUCUAUGGUGAACAUUGAUAUGUUCUGUUACGUGUACCGUGGUUCGGAGGAACUGAUCUGUGGAAAGUGUAUCGUUUUUAUAUGAAUCUCUUUUGAAGAUGAAGUCGUGAUCUUACAUUUAAAAGCCGACUUCCACUUCAGCUAAAGUUAUCUAAUUACCUGGAUCGUCCGUCUGUUAUCUCAACUCAUAAUUGAGCUCAUAUGUUACAACCUUUUGCAUUGA